GACGAACCGUGCAAACGUUGUUCGGAUUCACUGGGCUUAAAGGGCGCGUAGGCGGGCGGUCAAGUCAGGGGUGAAGGCCUCCAGCUUAACUGGAGAAGUGCCUCUGAUACUGACUGUCUCGAGGGAGGUAGGGGCAUGUGGAACUCAGGGUGGAGCGGUGAAAUGCGUAGAUAUCCUGAGGAACGCCGGUGGCGAAAGCGACGUGCUGGACCUCUUCUGACGCUGAGGCGCGAAAGCCAGGGGAGCAAACGGG
rnacentral:rRNA from 1 species